AAAUUUGGGCAACUUUCAUACUUAUUUUUCAGGUAUUUGCUUCAGUAGUCCACUUUAUGUGUUAGUAGUGUUUGACGUUACUUGUGGGAUUUUGCUCUCGUGCUCUAUUUUCUGAUUUCUAUCACCAGUGGCUUCAUAGUUGUAUACAGUAAUUUCUGGUUAGAGACAGAGGCAGUGGCCUGCUGGAUAACACACCAGACGGAAAGUCAGAGUUCCUUGUUUGGGACUUUACUUUGCUCUUGACUUCCAGUAAUCAGGGUGUUUCUUUGUUCUGAAACAUGCUUGUAUUAGUCACAGCCAGGUUCACAACUGGCAGGUAAUCCCUGAACAAGUAAAUCCCAGUGGAACCAGAAAACUGGGUCUUGUUUUCCUUAAUCGGAGCCUGACUUAGAAUCAGCUAUUGAACUGGAAAAAAAAAAGUAUUAGCCAUUAGAAAAAGAAUUUAAAUUACUGGUCUCUCCAUAUUUAGAAUUUCUUGCAAUCAUUUCCACUGUAUGUAACACUGAAAUCCUUUGUGGUUGUCUGCUGCAAAAAUGAAUCUUUGACCCAGCAACUUUAAAUGCUUUUGACACCAUUGGGAAUUUUGAGAAUUCUUAAUUUAAUCUGUACUUGUCCUGGGUGGGGGCGGGGAUGAGGAAGAAGUGCAUUGGCAGUUAUGCUGUCUGUAAGCAGAGGCUUGUGCUUCUGGAACUUAUGUUUACCAGGGAAUGAUUAUUAGCAUAAUAAGUAUGAUAUUCUAGCUUUUAUUUCUGGAGGUUGUAAAGAGCCAGCCAAGCAGAGAGAAGAGUGGGAGGUGACUGGCAGCAAGGGUCUUGUGGCUGCUAUUAGUGCAACACUGCUGCAGGUGGAGGAACGUUUUAUCAAAGUGGGAAGAAGAGGAGGCCUUCUCUGUGGAUGACUGACUUCCCUGCAUGCCUCCUCUUUACAGGCCUGCAGUGGCCUUAGGAUGCAAAUAACUUUCUUUUCUUUCUCAUCCCAAGCCUAUCACAGAUUCUUCCUCUUUAACUGAUUCUUGUUUUCUUAGUAAUUAUUUAUCUGUCAAGCAGGGACUUGUCCUGACAAGGAGAACAGGAAGAUCACUUGACCAGGCCCUCUGGUUCCUGUCUACACAAUGCCUGUAGUCCCUUCUCUCAAAGACUGAGUGUUUAGACUCACAUGUCUCCCCGAAGGGAAGGAGGAGUCAUUAAAGUAGAAACACACUUAAGUCAACAGGUUUUCUGAACCCCCAGUGAAUUUUGAGUUCUCAGUGCAACCUUCCCCUGCUUCACUCUUCCUGUUUCUUCUCUGUGCCCUUGUUUUCCGGUUGGGAAAGUGGAAAAGAUCCUGGCUGUGAAGGAGAGUGAGUGGAGAAGAACCCAUGGGCCCGACUGCAUCAAGGGCCUUCCCUCAGUGGAGAGCAGAGAACCGCCUGGUCCUCCUCACUCAACGCGUGCUGUCUGUGUGCAAGACGCUUAUGGGUAAUGUUGAAGGGGUGUAGUAAAAAGGCUUCUCUGUGUAAUUGGGGACUAGAACAUGCCCAAAACGACGAGUGCAUCAGGGUACGUUCAGUGUAUAACUUAAAGUGACAGGCAUAGGAUGGUGGGCAGAACCAUGAUGUAUUUCAGACAGCGACUCAAGGACUGCUUGUCUCUUCAUAGGAACAGCAUAGUCCAAAAAUGGGGGUUGAUAUCCUGUGACACUUUUCUAGAUUAAAUGAUCCUAAUAUUAUACAGUAAGUGCUUUUAUUUUUAGUUACUUGAGGAAAAAGAUGGUAUUUUUCAAAAAGUGAGACAGGAAAAGGAAUAUGGGACAUUAUAUGUAUCUCCUGGUAUGUAUGUGUGUGCGCUACUACCUAUAAAGCAGCCUUGCUGCUGAAGUACAUCCCGAGUUACAUAAAACAUCUAGAUCUUACUGCGUAUUUAUAGGAAAUAAGAGGGAUGGAGAAACAUUGUAAAUGGCUUUUUGGGAAUAGAAUCCGCAAAUUCCGAACAGCAUUAUAGGAUAAACAGACCAGUUUUUUCAACAAAUAAAUCAUAAGGGGAAAGGUGAGAAAAAAGCCCCUAUAGAUAAAAAGAGAUUGAAAAGAUGAAUGACCAAUAGUCAUAUAUGAUUGAUUCAGACGAAAUGAAGAAAAUGUAAGGCAGUCUGGGAAAUGUGGACACUGAUUAUUUGACAGUGUUAAUAGAAUUAAGAAAUUUAUUUU